UCCCUUAUGGUCCGGUGGUUAGGACUCUGCACUUUUACUGCUAAGGGUGUGGGUUCAAUCACUGUAGGGGAA
rnacentral:tRNA from 1 species